GAGACUCCUUACCCAUUCAGGCCCCUGUUUGGUGCUUGGAAUCACACACUUCAGUUCAUAGGAACUGAAGUAAAUAUAGGGGAAAAGGGAAGACAGCCCUUGAAAUAUUACUUAUUAGAUUCAUAUCUGAGAUGAAGGAAAGAAUUAAAGGCUUUUAAGAAGUGACCUUUUUUUGGUGGUACUAGGGAUUGAACCCAGGGUUGCUCUACCACUAAGCUACAUCCCUAGCUCUUUUUAGUUUGUAUUUUGAGGCAGGAUCUCACUAAGUUGCCAAGAAUGGCCUCAAACCUAUGAUUCUUCUGCUUUAGCCUCCUGAACUGCUAGAUUACGGGCAUGCGCCACUGUGCCCAGUGACUUUUUUUUGCAGUGCUGGAGAUCAAACCCAAGUGCUCUACCACUGAGCCACACCCCUAGUCCAACAUAUAUUUUUUUCCUAUUUAAUAUAUAUAUGUAUAUAUAUUUCUUCCUAUUUAAUAUAUAUGUGUGUAUAUAUAUGUGUAUGUGUGUGUGUGUGUAUAUACACACACACACACUGAAAGAUAUCCCUAGCUCUUUUUUAUUCUUUAUUUUGAGACAGGGUCUUAACCUUGUUUAGAGCCUCUGUAAGUUGCUGAGGCUGGCUUUGAACUUCUGAUCCUCCUGUCUCAGCCUCCUGAGCCACUGGGAUUAUAGGCAUGAAUCAUAAUGCCCGGCUUCCUCUUUAAUAUUGCUACUGGGUGGGACAUAAUUUUAAGUAAAAACAAAAUAAUUUUACAUCUGUUCCUUUGUUAGGAGUUGGUGAGGUUUUUUGUUUUUUAAAUCUUUUGAAAUGAUGAGAAGAGCUAAGAUAUUUCAGAGGGGUGAGGAUGGGGUUGGGAAUCAUUAUAAGGGGUUGUCUAGAUAAAGGAGAAAUUCAAAGGCUAAAAGAAUAAAACCCUACAGUUAUGACCAUGCAACAGGAGAAUUUGAGAAGGUGACAGUUAUGAUGUGAGACAGGGCAAAGAAAUUUGGAAAUUUUCUUUUUCUUUGGAAACUUGGCUAAAGACACUGGUUAAGGGGGACUUUGGGGAGAUAAAAAUCUUAGAUUCAAAGCUAUGGAAGUAGUCAGAAGUAGGUCAGGUUAGACUCAAAUGACUCAUACUUUUGUCAUUUCCUAAGAUUGACAAGUUCUCCCGUUCUACUCAAUUCACAUUAUCCAUUUCCUGGCUUUGUUAUUUUGUGUUUAGCUGCUUUUUCAGUUUUAGAUUGGUUUGCAUUUCAGGUGUUUUUUAGGGAAAUGUUUCUCAAACUGGAUCCUAAGGGUCUCUGGGAAUCUCUUAGGAGUCUGAGUUCUUGAGGUUAUGAAGUUCCUUCAAAGCAAACUACUACCACAAAAGAAGUUGUAUUUUUGCCAAGUGGAGUGGUACAUGUCUGCAGUUGCAGCUACUGAGAAGGCUUAUGCAGGGGGGCUCCAAAUUUGAGAUUGGUUUUGCAAUGUAGGGAGGCCCUACCUUAAGGUAUGUGAUAGUGAAUAUGGAAGAAAGCUAUUACUAUGGGGACCAAUAUUUCUCAAAAGAUCUGCAGAGUAAUUGUGGGGAGCCCAUGAUUUCUAAGGUUUUACAAACAAUUCUAUUAUAGCUUUCAUUUUCCAUGAUGCAACCUGCCCUCUCCUAUUCCCAUGUGCUUGAUUUUAAUAAUUAAGAAGAGCCUCAAAGCACUGUUGGGACGUUAAUGAGAUCUGGCUUGAUGUGACUUUUACAAUCACAGUCUAAUGGUUCUCAGGCCUGUGCAGGUGGUAACGCAGCAGUGAGACCUCCUUACUGAACAUAAAGUAGGUCAAUCAAUGAUAUAAAAUAUAGUUUUGUAACUAUGUAAUCUUAAAUAGUAUGGCUAUGAUAGAUAUCAAAGGUUAAAAAAAAAAGAAAGGUAAACAAAAUUUAAUACUAAC
rnacentral:lncRNA from 1 species